UGGGGGAUAUUGCACAAUGGGCGAAAGCCUGAUGCAGCGACGCCGCGUGGGGGAUGAAGGCCUUCGGGUUGUAAACUUCUUUUGCUCUGAACAAGGCAUGCCUUUGGGGUGUGUUGAGUGUAGGGGUUGAUUAGCGCCGGCUAACUACGUGCCAGCAGCCGCGGUAAUACGUAGGGCGCGAGCGUUGUCCGGAAUUAUUGGGCGUAAAGGGCUUGUAGGUGGCUGGUUGCGUCUGUCGUGAAAGCUCAUGGCUUAACUGUGGGUUUGCGGUGGGUACGGGCUGGCUUGAGUGCAGUAGGGGAGGCUGGAAUUCCUGGUGAAGCGGUGGAAUGCGCAGAUAUCAGGAGGAAUACCGGUGGCGAAGGCGGGUCUCUGGGCUGUUACUGACGCUGAGGAGCGAAAGCGUGGGGAGCGAACAGG
rnacentral:rRNA from 1 species